AUACGUAGGGUGCAAGCGUUAUCCGGAUUUAUUGGGCGUAAAGUGUUGCGUAGGCUGAUUUGCGCAUUUUGUUUAAAAGGCUAAGGCUUAACCUUAGUUUUGGGCAAAAUAUGGCAAAUCUUGAUGGUUUAAGAGGGUACUGGAACUUAACAUGUAGCAGUGAAAUGCGUUGAUAUGUUAAGGAACACCAAAGGCGUAGGCAGGUACCUGGGAAACUCAUGACGCUGAGGCACGACAGCUUGGGGAGCGAAGCAGAUUAGAGACCUGCGUAGUCCAAGCCGUAAACGAUGGAUGCUAGUUAGUCCCUUUUUUGGGACCGACGUAAGGUAACCCGUUAAGCAUCCCGCCUGGGGAGUACGAGCGCAAGCUUAAAACUCAAAGGAAUUGACGGGGAGGCGCACAAGCAGUGGAGCAUGUGGUUUAAUUCGAUACGAAGCGAAAAACCUCACCAGGGUUUGACAUGUACUUGCUAAGCCUAAGAAACUAGGCCUCCUUCGAGGGUAGUACACAGAUGCUGCAUGGCUGUCGUCAGCUCGUGGCGUGAGCUGUACCGUUAAGUCGGGUAACGAGCGCAACCCGCAUCAUAUGUUAAAUGUUCAUAUGAAACAGCCCCACUUUGUGGGGAGGAAGGCGCGGAUGACGUCAAGUCAGCACGGCUCUUACACCCUGGGCUACACACAUCCUACAAUGGCGAAAAACAACGAGCUGCAAGCCAGUAAUGGCAAGCUAAUCUCUGAAAUUUCGCCCCAGUUCAGAUUGAGGGCUGCAAUUCGCCCUCAUGAAGUCGGAAUUGCUAGUAAUCGCGAAUCAGCAGGUCGCGGUGAAUACGUUCUCGCCUCUUGUACACACCGCCCGUCAAGGCAGCAAAGUUGGGGGCGCCCGAACUCCUUUUAUUAGGAGGAAGGCGAAACCAGCGAUGAAGCUUAAGUCGUAACAAGGUAUCCCUAGCCGAAGCUGGGGAUG
rnacentral:rRNA from 1 species